rnacentral:sRNA from 1 species
UGGUCAUGUGUCACUUCUAAGGCAGGUGGUAUGUGGAGAUGCGGCCAGUGCACCAUCACCGGCCCGUGUGCUU